GUGCAGACUCAAUCAUUAACUCUGAAAAAUGUUUGAGAAGUGAGAGGAACCAGGGUUAUUGAAGUAAUUGUAGUGACAGAAAUGUAUUAGCCUCAGGAGCUACUGAGGUGUCCAUUCUAGCCUAGUACAGAA